rnacentral:rRNA from 1 species
UACGUAGGGGGCAAGCGUUGUCCGGACUUACUGGGCGUAAAGCGUGUGCAGGCGGGCCGCUAUGUGCCGUGUGAAAGCUCUCAGCUUAUCUGGGAGAGGUCGCGGUAGACAGGCAGCCUGGAGGCUCGGAGAGGUCAGUGGAAUUCUCGGUGUAGUGGUGAAAUGCGUAGAUAUCGAGAGGAACACCAGUGGCGAAGGCGGCUCGCUGGGCCAUUCCUGACGCUGAGACGCGAAAGCUAGGGGAGCGAACAGG